UGCAGUCGAGCGAAUGGAUUAAGAGCUUGCUCUUAUGAAGUUAGCGGCGGACGGGUGAGUAACACGUGGGUAACCUGCCCAUAAGACUGGGAUAACUCCGGGAAACCGGGGCUAAUACCGGAUAACAUUUUGAACCGCAUGGUUCGAAAUUGAAAGGCGGCUUCGGCUGUCACUUAUGGAUGGACCCGCGUCGCAUUAGCUAGUUGGUGAGGUAACGGCUCACCAAGGCAACGAUGCGUAGCCGACCUGAGAGGGUGAUCGGCCACACUGGGACUGAGACACGGCCCAGACUCCUACGGGAGGCAGCAGUAGGGAAUCUUCCGCAAUGGACGAAAGUCUGACGGAGCAACGCCGCGUGAGUGAUGAAGGCUUUCGGGUCGUAAAACUCUGUUGUUAGGGAAGAACAAGUGCUAGUUGAAUAAGCUGGCACCUUGACGGUACCUAACCAGAAAGCCACGGCUAACUACGUGCCAGCAGCCGCGGUAAUACGUAGGUGGCAAGCGUUAUCCGGAAUUAUUGGGCGUAAAGCGCGCGCAGGUGGUUUCUUAAGUCUGAUGUGAAAGCCCACGGCUCAACCGUGGAGGGUCAUUGGAAACUGGGAGACUUGAGUGCAGAAGAGGAAAGUGGAAUUCCAUGUGUAGCGGUGAAAUGCGUAGAGAUAUGGAGGAACACCAGUGGCGAAAGCGACUUUCUGGUCUGUAACUGACACUGA
rnacentral:rRNA from 1 species